UACGAAGGGGGCUAGCGUUGCUCGGAAUCACUGGGCGUAAAGGGUGCGUAGGCGGGUUUUUAAGUCAGAGGUGAGAUCCUGGAGCUCCACUCCAGAACUGCCUUUGAUACUGGGAAUCUUGAGUAUGGAAGAGGUGAGUGGAACUGCGAGUGUAGAGGUGAAAUUCGUAGAUAUUCGCAAGAACCCCAGUGGCGAAGGCGGCUCACUGGUCCAUAACUGACGCUGAGGCACGAAAGCGUGGCGAGCAAACAGG
rnacentral:rRNA from 1 species